GACGAACGCUGGCGGCGUGCCUAAUACAUGCAAGUAGAACGCUGAAGGAGGAGCUUGCUCUUCUGGAUGAGUUGCGAACGGGUGAGUAACGCGUAGGUAACCUGCCUGGUAGCGGGGGAUAACUAUUGGAAACGAUAGCUAAUACCGCAUAAGAGUAGAUGUUGCAUGACAUUUACUUAAAAGGUGCAAUUGCAUCACUACCAGAUGGACCUGCGUUGUAUUAGCUAGUUGGUGGGGUAACGGCUUACCAAGGCGACGAUACAUAGCCGACCUGAGAGGGUGAUCGGCCACACUGAGACUGAGACACGGCCCAGACUCCUACGGGAGGCAGCAGUAGGGAAUCUUCGGCAAUGGACGGAAGUCUGACCGAGCAACGCCGCGUGAGUGAAGAAGGUUUUCGGAUCGUAAAGCUCUGUUGUAAGAGAAGAACGAGUGUGAGAGUGGAAAGUUCACACUGUGACGGUAUCUUACCAGAAAGGGACGGCUAACUACGUG
rnacentral:rRNA from 1 species